rnacentral:rRNA from 1 species
ACUCCUACGGGAGGCAGCAGUGGGGAAUAUUGCACAAUGGGCGCAAGCCUGAUGCAGCCAUGCCGCGUGUAUGAAGAAGGCCUUCGGGUUGUAAAGUACUUUCAGCAGUGAGGAAGGUGAAUAUGUUAAUAGCAUAUUUCAAUUUUGGACGUUUAAGCUGCAGAAGAAGCACCGGCUAACUCCGUGCCAGCAGCCGCGGUAAUACGGAGGGUGCGAGCGUUAAUCGGAAUUACUGGGCGUAAAGCGCAUGCAGGUGGUUUGUUAAGUCAGAUGUGAAAGCCCGGGGCUCAACCUCGGAAUUGCAUUUGAAACUGGCAAACUAGAGUACUGUAGAGGGGGGGUUAGAAUUUUCAGGUGUAGCGGUGAAAUGCGUAGAGAUCUGAAGGAAUACCGGUGGCGAAGGCGGCCCCCUGGACAGAUACUGACACUCAGAUGCGAAAGCGUGGGGAGCAAACAGGAUUAGAUACCCUGGUAGCUACGAGU